rnacentral:rRNA from 1 species
CUGCCCAAUGAGUAUUUGAAUGGCCGCGGUACUUUGACCGUGCAAAGGUAGCAUAAUCAUUAGUUUUUUAAUUGAAAGCUGGUAUGAAAGGUUGGAUGAGAAAAUUACUGUCUCUGUUUAAAUUAAUUAGAAUUUUAUUUUUAAGUAAGAAAGCUUAAAUGAGAAUAGAAGACGAGAAGACCCUAUAGAGUUUUAUAAAUUUUAAUUUAAAGAAUUUUUAGAAUUAAUAAAUUUUUAUUUUAAAAUGUAUUUGAUUGGGGUGAUUGAAAAAUUUAAAGAACUUUUUUUAUUUAUUAAACAUUUAUUUAUGAAUAAGUGAUCCUUAUUUAAAGAUUAAAAGAAAAAAUUACCUUAGGGAUAACAGCGUAAUUUUUUUAAAGAGUUCAAAUCGAAAAAAAAGAUUGCGACCUCGAUGUUGGAUUAAAAUAAAAUUUUGGUGUAGAAGCUAAAGUAUUUGGGUCUGUUCGACCUUUAAAAUUUUACAUGAUCUGAGUUUAAACCGGUGU